AUGUUAUUAAUUCACAUAUAUCCUAGUAUAUUAUUUGGGAAGUACAUUUUAAAUGUAACCUUAAUUUUUGUAAUUAAUUACAUGACAAUGCCAUUAGAAAAAAU
rnacentral:sRNA from 1 species